rnacentral:rRNA from 1 species
CCCUAUGACCAAAUCACCUGGAAUGGGCCUGAUAUCAAAUCUUGGAAACUAAGCAGGGUUGAGCCUGGAUAGUACUUGGAUGGGCGACUACCAUGCAAAACAGGUGAUGUAGGCU